UACGAAGGGGGCUAGCGUUGCUCGGAAUCACUGGGCGUAAAGCGCACGUAGGCGGAUUGUUAAGUCAGGGGUGAAAUCCUGGAGCUCAACUCCAGAACUGCCUUUGAUACUGAGGAUCUUGAGUUCGGGAGAGGUGAGUGGAACUGCGAGUGUAGAGGUGAAAUUCGUAGAUAUCCGCAAGAACACCAGUGGCGAAGGCGGCUCACUGGCCCGAUACUGACGCUGAGGCACGAAAGCGUGGGGAGCAAACAGG
rnacentral:rRNA from 1 species